GAUGAACGCUGGCGGCGUGCCUAAUACAUGCAAGUCGAGCGAACGGACGAGAAGCUUGCUUCUCUGAUGUUAGCGGCGGACGGGUGAGUAACACGUGGAUAACCUACCUAUAAGACUGGGAUAACUUCGGGAAACCGGAGCUAAUACCGGAUGAUAUUUUGAACCGCAUGGUUCAAUAGUGAAAGACGGUCUUGCUGUCACUUAUAGAUGGAUCCGCGCUGCAUUAGCUAGUUGGUAAGGUAACGGCUUACCAAGGCAACGAUGCAUAGCCGACCUGAGAGGGGGAUCGGCCACCUGGGAACGGAGACACGGUCCAGACUCCUAGGGGAGGCAGCAGAAGGGAAUCUUCCGCAAGGGGCGAAAGCCUGACGGAGCAACGCCGCGGGAGUGAUGAAGGUCUUCGGAUCGUAAAACUCUGUUAUUAGGGAAGAACAUAUGUGUAAGUAACUGUGCACAUCUUGACGGUACCUAAUCAGAAAGCCACGGCUAACUACGU
rnacentral:rRNA from 1 species